CCUGGUCUCUUCUGGCGCUUAGAUAUCUUCUUCUCUAGCACCAUUUGAAAUCAGUUU
rnacentral:pre_miRNA from 1 species